rnacentral:misc_RNA from 1 species
GAUGAAGAACGUAGCGAAAUGCGAUACGUAGUGUGAAUUGCAGAAUUCAGUGAAUCAUCGAAUCUUUGAACGCACAUUGCGCCCUCUGGUAUUCCGGGGGGCAUGCCUGUCCGAGCGUCAUUUGCAACCCUCAAGCCCGGCUUGUGUGAUGGGUGCCGUCCCCUACGGGACGCGCCCCGAAGGCAAUGGCGGCGUCGCGGUUAUCCGAUCAGCCAAAGUGUAUGGGGCUUUGUCACUCACUUUACGGCCCGGACCGGCGCCAGUCCGAAUCAAUCUUUUUUCUAAAGUUGACCUCGGAUCAGGUAGGGAUACCCGCUGAACUUAAGCAUAUCAAUAAGCGGAGGA